rnacentral:lncRNA from 1 species
CUCCUCAAAGAGAGCACCACUUCAGAAGAUCUGUUUUGAAACACUGACUCUCCACUGAGGAAACGGAGAAGGCGUGGAAGGCCAUUCUCCCCAGUGACUCUGCUGCCCAAGAUUAUGGGGAUGAAAAACAUAAUCUUCCACCUGGAGAGAGACCAUGAUGACACGCCAAAUGAUGACCACCAGUCUGAAACUACCAUGAUGUCAGAGACCACUAUGAUGACACACCAUGUGACGACCACCUGUCGGAGACCACUGUGAUGACACACCAAAUGACAACCACCUGUCAGAGACCACUAUGAUGUCAGAGACCACUAUGAUGACAGACC